GUGUCAGCAGCCGCGGUAAUACGGAGGGUGCAAGCGUUAUCCGGAAUCACUGGGUUUAAAGGGUGCGUAGGCGGCCUGGUAAGUCAGGGGUGAAAGGUCACGGCUCAACCGUGGAAUUGCCUUUGAUACUGCGGGGCUUGAAUCGGGCUGAGGUCGGCGGAAUGUGGCAUGUAGCGGUGAAAUGCAUAGAUAUGCCAUAGAACACCAAUUGCGAAGGCAGCUGGCUAGACCUUGAUUGACGCUGAGGCACGAAAGCGUGGGGAGCGAACAGGAUUAGAAACCCGGGUAGUCC
rnacentral:rRNA from 1 species